GUUCUUAUAGUUGAAUACAACAGCAGUUUUUCAGACUGCAAGUCUAGGUUAGAAUCCUUGUAGGAAUU
rnacentral:tRNA from 1 species